rnacentral:sRNA from 1 species
UCAUAGGUCCUCUCCGGUCUCACAGCCUA